rnacentral:lncRNA from 1 species
GAGAGGAGACGUGGGAGGAAGAGGAGAGAAUUGAUUCAUAAUGUCUCCCUUGCUAUCCUUUUAUAGAUUGGGUUUAAAGCCUCUCCUAAUCUUAUUAGGAGUAUGGGACUAUAACCCACUCUUGAAUUAAUGCCAAGUGUCCAAUCCUUGUGCUCAUAGAUGCAUGACAUGUGUCCACUGAAUCAAUUGAUUAAUUUUCUA